rnacentral:rRNA from 1 species
CCUACGGGUGGCAGCAGUGAGGAAUAUUGGUCAAUGGACGAGAGUCUGAACCAGCCAAGUAGCGUGAAGGAUGACUGACCUAUGGGUUGUAAACUUCAUUUAUAUGGGAAUAACAUGUUCCACGUGUGGGAUUUUGUGUGUACCAGAUGAAUAAGGAUUGGCUAACUCCGUGCAAACAGCCGCGGUAAUACGGAGGAGCCGAGCGUUAUCCGAAUUUAUUGGGUUUAAAGGGAGCGUAGGUGGCUUGUUAAGUCAGUUGUGAAAGUGUGCGGCUCAACCGUAAAAUUGCAGUUGAAACUGGCAGUCGUGAGUACAGUAGAGGUGGGCGGAAUUCGUGGUGUAGCGGUGAAAUGCUUAGAUAGCACGAAGAACUCCGAUUGCGAAGGCAGCUCACUGGACUGCAACUGACACUGAGGCUCGAAAGUGUGGGUAUCAAACAGGAUUAGAUACCCCUGUAGUC